GAAGCUAUAGCUCAGUGGUAGAGUGCACGCUUAGCAUGCAUGAUGUCCUGUGUUCCAUCCUCAGUACCUCCA
rnacentral:tRNA from 1 species